UACGGAGGGUGCAAGCGUUAAUCGGAAUUACUGGGCGUAAAGCGCGCGUAGGCGGGUAUUUAAGUCUCAUGUGAAAGCCCAGGGCUCAACCUUGGAACUGCAUGGGAUACUGGGUACCUAGAAUACAGUAGAGGGUGGUGGAAUUUCCGGUGUAGCGGUGAAAUGCGUAGAGAUCGGAAGGAACAUCAGUGGCGAAGGCGGCCACCUGGACAGAUACUGACGCUGAGGCACGAAAGCGUGGGGAGCAAACAGG
rnacentral:rRNA from 1 species